rnacentral:rRNA from 1 species
GACGAACGCUGGCGGCGUGCUUAACACAUGCAAGUCGAACGGCAAGGCCCUGCUUUCGUGGGGUGCUCGAGUGGCGAACGGGUGAGUAACACGUGAGUAACCUGCUCUAGACUUUGGGAUAACUUCAGGAAACUGGGGCUAAUACCGGAUAGGAGCUCCCGUUGCAUGGUGGGGGUUGGAACGUUUCGGCGGUUGGGGAUGGACUCGCGGCUUAUCAGCUUGUUGGUGGGGUAGUGGCUUACCAAGGCUUUGACGGGUAGCCGGCCUGAGAGGGUGACCGGCCACAUUGGGACUGAGAUACGGCCCAGACUCCUACGGGAGGCAGCAGUGGGGAAUAUUGCACAAUGGGCGGAAGCCUGAUGCAGCAACGCCGCGUGCGGGAUGACGGCCUUCGGGUUGUAAACCGCUUUCGCCUGUGACGAAGCGUGAGUGACGGUAAUGGGUAAAGAAGCACCGGCUAACUACGUG